rnacentral:rRNA from 1 species
GAUGAACGCUGGCGGCGUGCUUAACACAUGCAAGUCGAACGAGCGGCGGACGGGUGAGUAAUGUCUGGGAAACUGCCUGAUGGAGGGGGAUAACUACUGGAAACGGUAGCUAAUACCGCAUACCAUCAGAUGUGCCCAGAUGGGAUUAGCUAGUAGGUGGGGUAAUGGCUCACCUAGGCGACGAUCCCUAGCUGGUCUGAGAGGAUGACCAGCCACACUGUAACUGAUACACGGUCCAGACUCCUACGGGAGGCAGCAGUGGGGAAUAUUGCACAAUGGGCGCAAGCCUGAGGCAGCCAUGCCGCGUGGGUGAAGAAGGCCUUCGGGUUGUAAAGCACUUUCAGCGAGGAGGCGUUACUCGCAGAAGAAGCACCGGCUAACUCCGUGCCAGCAGCCGCGGUAAUUC